rnacentral:tRNA from 1 species
GGGCCGCUAGCUCAGUAGGCAGAGCAACGCCCUUUUAAGGCGUGGGUCCCCGGUUCGAAUCCGGGGCGGCUCAACA